UAUAAGGCUGGGAGAUUAUUGGGAAAUGAUCUUGAACAGUUGAUUCAGAGGUUGUGUUCUGUGUUUGUUUGUUUCGAUGUAUACUUGUGUUAGCAGUAUCCAAUCGUAUGUACUUGUUUCUUAGUUGUUAGUGUUAUUUGGCAGAUCUCCUCAGUUAUGACUUGACACUUGGAUAAUUUCUUGCUAAAAAAAAGAACUUGGGCAAUUCAUUACCACAGCAGACGUUGUGUGCAGCUACUAGGGGGUAUGUGGUUCAUAAUGGUGCCCUGCUGGUUUGGAUUCAGACUUUGGGCAUCAUUGCCUGGUUAGCUAUCUGAUUUUUCUAAGCUUUUCUAUUCUGGUCCCUUACUCUGAAAUGUUUACAUGUUGAUGAUUUGCUGAGGAAUCCAAGUAUAUUUCAACAGUGCCAUUCAGAAAGACACUAUCAGGAACGGAGGAGCCAUACAAGGAAUCUGCUUGGAGUUUUACGUGGGAUCGAUAAGUUACUUGGAAGUUUGUCUCAUGAAUUGGCAAGUUGGCUUUCCUUCCAUGCCCACUGACUGGCUGGCUGAGGGAUGCAGCACCAGUUGCUUAUCCUUAGGUGUUUGCACCAUGGAUGGGCCAUAAGUCCAUAAGGAAGGCUGGAAUGUAUGCUCUUCCCUCAAAGUUGCAGCUGUUGAAAAAAUUGAGUGAACAUAGUGAUCGAUCACGAUAGUGACCAAUCUGCCCGCACCUCACGUCCCCACCGGCCUACCCCGAUUCUCUACUGCUAAAAAGAACGAAGUACUCUUCAUUUUGAUUUUUAUAGGUUAAUAGAUUUUGAUAUACAUUUAGACAUACAUUAUAUCUAAAUGCAAAGAAAAUCUUAUAAUCUAGAAAAUUAAAACAACUGCAUUUUAAAACUGAAACGGAGGGAGUAAACGCUUUCCCCUCUAAUAAAUCUGCCUCUCUAAUACCAAUCUGCCCGCACCUCACGUCCCCGCCGGCUCACCCCGAUUCUGAAAACACAACCGCUCACGAGCGGUUCACCUGCUCGCCGCCGGCUUCCCCCUCGCUCGUCGGCUUCACGAGCCGGCUCUCCUCCGCGCGAGGUCGACGGCCUGCCGCGCCGCCGCCGACAUGCCGCGCCAUCGCGCCGUCGUCCCGCUGAGUUCCCCCUUAUCGCCGGCUUCUGAUUAGAAAUCCCCGCAAAAUUAUUCCGCUCGCACUAUACCCCUCCUUCCCCUCGAUCUCAAUAGUUGUUCUGCUCCCGUCGGAUCCCGCACCACAUCGCCACACCGCAGCUGAGAAGAUGGCGACGAUGAUGUUCACGGAGGGCCUCGACGAGUCGGCGAUCAGCUGGAUGGAGCAGAGGGAACCGACUCCCCACCCCCACGCGCCGCCGCGGUCGUCGCUAGCGGAGCGGCCUCCGCUGGGGCAGGUGGCACUGUGGUAGCGGCGCUGCCGAGAUGCCCCGCGCGGCACGCUCGUGCUGCGAGCGUGCGGCACAAGCACGGGCAUCAAUUCUUCUCGCCAAGGGGCUGCCGGUCUGCCGCUCGUGCGGACCACGGGACACGCCACUCGGGCUUGCUCGGCCCUCCCUCCGCGCUCCUCUCGGUGGUGGACUCUGACGAGUGGGAGGACAUGGAGGAGGACAGCGUCACGUCGCGGGGAUGUCCAAGGACUGCUACGACGGCAACUUCUCCGAGACCGCCGACGAGGCGUGCUCCAGCGAGGCAGCGUCAGAGAGCGUCUCCAUCCUGCUGCGGAUGGCCAUGGACUGCUGCCCCGGAGAGUGGGACGAGGAGGUGACGUCGCAGCUGAGCAGGAAGGGCGGCGGCGGUGGCGGGAUCGUACGGGACCAGGCCAAGGAGUUCCAGCGGGUGGAGGUGUGUGCGGCGGUCGCGUUCGCGGCGGGGAAGUGCGCCGGGGCACAAUAUCAAGUGGACUCCAGCUCGCAUGGGUCACUAUUUUGAGAAGCAUGAGUUUCAGACACCAGUGCCUCUCCAAUUGCUGGGGACGAGGAGGAGGUCAUGUUCGAUGCAGUAGGUGACACAAUAUAAUCAAAGAAUUUUGUAAUAGGUUUGAUUUGAGUGUUGAUGCUGCAAACAGAGACGGCUGAAACAAGUGGAGGCCUUGAGAGGACUGGGCUAUCAUCAAUAGAAGAUUUACUGGCACAUGUCCAUGAGCUUCCUACGAGGUAAAGCAAUCUGGAGAUGGUAAAUUGCAGUAUAUCAUUUGCACUUUGGAAUAACUCUGGCUGACAUUUGUUUUUUCCCUGUCAUGAAAUGCAAUUCAGCUCAAACAUUAUUGAAGAUGGUAUUCAGAUGCCAUAUGCCGAGAAUAAAUAAUUCAUUAGCUCAGAUACAGAGCUUCAGCGUUAAGUGAUUUUUGUUUUACCCGUGACUUUACAGUUUUCGGGAUGCGUGCAUGGUGCUGCGAAGUGCCUCUGCGUAUGGAACAGCUAACGCAUGAAUGAGACAUUUUGCUUUUGAGCACGCAGCUUAUGUGGUCUUUUUUUUAUGAACAGAAUACAGAAUUUUCCGCUUCAUCCCAAACACAGCAGUCAAGUUGACGGGAAACAAGUGUAUGAUAAGGAUAUAAGCUGUACCAUAAAGAGAAGAAAGCUUGUUAGACAGAUUGAGAUCGAACUAUCGAAGGUAUGGAUAAGCAAUAGCUUCAGCCUUCAGUACAGAACAUUGCUCGUCCACCUCUAUUUCUCCCACGUUGUACCAAUGCAUUGACAAAUUCUUGAGAAGCAUUAACAACCAAGGCAUGGAAGAACUUUAAAUAUGGGAGGAUGGAGUUCAGAGGCUCCAAUUGAAUAUCAUAUGAAUACUCCCAAAACCCUCCAAUUGAAUUUCAUAUGAAUACUCACAAGACCUUUGGUGAAUUCAAGGUUGGUGUGUCCAGAUAUACUGACCAAGUGAAUAUAUUCUGGCAGUAUCUGUCUGUAUGUAUACCGCAGUUGCGUAGAUUGCAGUCUAUUGUAUCUUAAUCGGUGUAUCGUCAGCUCCCUGUUAUAUAGCCCUGUAAAACAACUUAUACAUCAUGAAUGUGGGUGGAUCUAUCGACAGCGUCCUUUCAGUCUUUAAA